rnacentral:rRNA from 1 species
UACGGGAGGCAGCAGUGGGGAAUAUUGCACAAUGGGCGAAAGCCUGAUGCAGCUAUGCCGCGUGUAUGAAGAAGGCCUUAGGGUUGUAAAGUACUUUCAUCGGGGAGGAAAAAACAAAACUAAUAAUUUUAUUUCUUGACGUUACCCGAAAAAGAAGCACCGGCUAACUCCGUGCCAGCAGCCGCGGUAAUACGGAGGGUGCUAGCGUUAAUCAGAAUUACUGGGCGUAAAGAGCACGUAGGUGGUUUUUUAAAGUCAGAUGUGAAAUCCCUGGGCUUAACCUAGGAACUGCAUUUUGAAACUGAAAUACUAGAGUAUCGUAGAGGGAGGUAGAAUUCUAGGUGUAGCGGUGAAAUGCGUAGAUAUCUGGAGGAAUACCUGUGGCGAAAGCGGCCUCCUAAACGAAUACUGACACUGAGGGUGCGAAAGCGUGGGGAGCAAACAGGGAUUAGAUACC